GGAAAGAACUACCAAGGAUUCCCCUAGUAACUGCGAGUGAAGCGGGAAAAGCUCAAAUUUAAAAUCUGGUGGUCUCUGGUCACCCGAAUUGUAAUCUAGAGAAGUGCUGCCCGCGCUGGACCGUGUACAAGUCUCCUGGGAUGGAGCGUCAUAGAGGGUGAGAAUCCCGUCUCUGACACGGACUACCAGGGCUUUGUGGUAUGCUCUCAAAGAGUCGAGUUGUUUGGGAAUGCAGCUCAAAAUGGGUGGUAAAUUCCAUCUAAAGCUAAAUAUUGGCGAGAGACCGAUAGCGAACAAGUACCGUGAGGGAAAGAUGAAAAGAACUUUGGAAAGAGAGUUAAACAGUACGUGAAAUUGCUGAAAGGGAAACGCUUGAAGUCAGUCACAUUGGCCUGGGAUCAGCCUUGCUCUUUUGCAUGGUGUAUUUCCUGGUUGAUGGGUCAGCAUCAAUUUUGACUACUGGAAAAAGGCUUGAGGAAUGUGGCAGCUCUGGCUGUGUUAUAGCUUCUUGUCAUAUACAGUGGUUGGGAUUGAGGAACUCAGCAUGCCACAAGGCCGGGUUUCGACCACGUUCAUGCUUAGGAUGCUGGCAUAAUGGCUUUAAGCGACCCGUCUUGAAACACGGACCAAGGAGUCUAACAUGCCUGCGAGUGUUUGGGUGGAAAACCCGAGCGCGUAAUGAAAGUGAAAGUUGAGAUCCCUGUCGUGGGGAGCAUCGACGCCCGGACCAGAACUUUUGGGACGGAUCCGCGGUAGAGCAUGUAUGUUGGGACCCGAAAGAUGGUGAACUAUGCCUGAAUAGGGUGAAGCCAGAGGAAACUCUGGUGGAGGCUCGUAGCGAUUCUGACGUGCAAAUCGAUCGUCAAAUUUGGGUAUAGGGGCGAAAGACUAUCGAA
rnacentral:rRNA from 1 species